rnacentral:rRNA from 1 species
AUACGUAGGGGGCGAGCGUUGUCCGGAAUGAUUGGGCGUAAAGGGCGCGUAGGCGGCCUGUUAAGUCUGGAGUGAAAGUCCUGUUUUCAAGAUGGGAAUUGCUUUGGAUACUGAUGGGCUUGAGUGCAGGAGAGGUUAUCGGAAUUCCCGGUGUAGCGGUGAAAUGCGUAGAGAUCGGGAGGAACACCAGUGGCGAAGGCGGGUAACUGGACUGCAACUGACGCUGAGGCGCGAAAGUGUGGGGAGCAAACAGGAUUAGAUACCCUGGUAGUCCACACUGUAAACGAUGAAUGCUAGGUGUAAGAGGUAUCGACCCCUUUUGUGCCGGAGUUAACACAAUAAGCAUUCCGCCUGGGGAGCACGGCCGCAAGGUUGAAACUCAAAGGAAUUGACGGGG